CUACAGGUGACUAUGCUAUAUGUGGUUUUGCCUGCGUUAAUAUCGUCAUCAAGGCGCCCCAAGAACAAAAGGAAGAAGACUUUUGUUUGGCGCCAGCGCGCGUUCAGUAUGCUACAGGUGACUAUGCUAUAUGUGGUUUUGCCUGCGUUAAUAUCGUCAUCAAGGCGCCCCAAGAACAAAAGGAAGAAGACUUUUGUUUGGCGCCAGCGCGCGUUCAGUAUGCUACAGGUGACUAUGCUAUAUGUGGUUUUGCCUGCGUUAAUAUCGUCACCAAGGCGCCCCAAGAACAAAAAGAAGAAGACUUUUGUUUGGCGCCAGCGCGCGUUCAGUAUGCUACAGGUGACUAUGCUAUAUGUGGUUUUGCCUGCGUUAAUAUCGUCAUCAAGGCGCCCCAAGAACAAAAGGAAGAAGACUUUUGUUUGGCGCCAGCGCGCGUUCAGUAUGCUACAGGUGACUAUGCUAUAUGUGGUUUUGCCUGCGUUAAUAUCGUCAUCAAGGCGCCCCAAGAACAAAAGGAAGAAGACUUUUGUUUGGCGCCAGCGCGCGUUCAGUAUGCUACAGGUGACUAUGCUAUAUGUGGUUUUGCCUGCGUUAAUAUCGUCAUCAAGGCGCCCCAAGAA